rnacentral:misc_RNA from 1 species
AAAGCAGGCGCAGGGCGAGUCUGGUGCAGAGCAACUGAAGUAAAUGCUGAGCAGCCCAUGGCGGUUAAUGAAAAAACUGUGAGCAUUGAUAAGCCAACUAAGGGUAUAUAUGUAUAGUAUGCAGCAAAAUCAGUUAAUUGGGCAACAAUACAAUUUUGGAGACAUGCAGCAGCAGCAGCGGAGAUUACUGGGGCAACACAAUAACGAUCAAAAUCUGCAGCAGCAGCA